GAACACUGACAGUUUUCUGACGUUGUUGCUAACUUUCAAUUACAAGUACUCAGAGUUGGUUUGUUCCGUAAUGAUGAAGUGAACAAUCUUUUUUGCAGGUGUCAUGGUAGAAAAAGUUGUUUCCAUUAACCCUGAUUUCGUAACGUGUUUUCCAGAUCCUUGUCAAGACCUCAGGACGAACUUAGCAGCAGUCAUGAAUAGGGGCGGAUAGCCUGUUGAUAUGCAGGUGUCCUGUAAAGAAAUACUGUCUUCCCUGACAACAAUGGUCUUGAUCUUGGAGUACUGCAAGCAUUCAGAUUCCUUGAAGAUCCUGAAGCACUUAACAGUGGUCGGUAAUGGGGGACAUUUCUUGUGUCCAGCUUCCGGUCAAGAAAUCAUGGUAUGCCUCAUAAUGACUAUGAACAGAACUUUGCUCGCAGCCAGGUGAAAGAUAGGAGCCUGAAACACCCUACACACAAUCCAGUCUUCAAAUAUUUAGAUUAGCGUGGAUGGUCCUAACGUGUGGGAUAGCAUGUUUUUCUGUGUGGAUUCAGUUGAAAAAUGAUACUGUCCCAACCAAUGUUAGUAGUAAGCAUUAGCCCUUAGUACUAUAGAGCUUAACAUUCAGUGGGUGUUUAAACUUAGCAGUGAUGGAGGCAUAUACAGGUAUCUAGGUAAGUUAUUCUACUAUUAACAAUCUCAUUAAGUUCUUUGCUAGUAUAAAAUUGAGGUGAUGUGACAAUAAAUCAUCAGGGAUUUCAUAUCUUCAGAUAUAUAGGUAAUUAAUACUUCCUAAACCUUUAUAUUAGUUUUCUUGGCAUAUACACAGUGCAGAAAUUAACUUGUCCCUAACAGCACUGGCAAGCAUGAGAUUUUGCUGUCUCCUUUUUUGGAGAUAAUACGUGUUUUUACACUCAUACCAAUGGACCUACAGUCAGUCAUCCAGCUAAUUUGUCAUAUAUUCCAUACCCAUGAUGCUGACCAUAGGAUUUUUAUAGGCAUCCACUCAAAAGAUGAAGGUAAAUCUAACUAGAAUUUAACCUGUUGAGUUCUGCGUAUUAUCCAGUAAUGUUGAAGGGGGUCCCAAAAUAAUACACUGGCCAAGAGAAUUUGCAGUUGUCCAAGUAGAAUAAAAUGUACAUGGAACAAGUUUUCUAUGCUGUGUUUUCAGGUUCAGGUUAAGACAUCAUGGGGAGUAUAUCCAUCGUGGUAAAUGAGGCACAUAGCAGGUAUGGAGGUAAGUGAUGAUGUGGGCCUGAAUCACAGCACAGAUCAUCUGAUUCUAUAUGCAGGUAAGGUAUUAUGGCCCUAACACUUCUUGUUACUAUGAUUUUGUUACAGGUGUUCAGGUAAGAGAUAGUCCUUACCAAAUCUAGUGACCUUGACUUUAUACGUUUUACAUUUUAGAGAUAAACGUUUAACCCUGUGAGUUUUGAGAGCUGAUUGUAUCCAUAACUGUUAAUUUCCCACCCCAGUAGUAACCACAGUGUAUUUGCAGGAAGUCUGCUUCAGACAUGAUGGCCUUCUUCUGAUACAGGUCUUGACCUGAGUUGAUGCAAACGUCAAGGUAGAGUUGAUGUGCUCCAUAAUAAUGGAAGUGCAAAGGAUUGUCAGCAGGUGUCCUGGUAGAACAAGUCAUGUCCUUGAGCAUCUCUGUCCUAUGUGUCUCUUCAGUUUCUUAUCAAGAAAGUAUAGUCAGGGCGCCUGGGUGGCUCAGUUGG